AGCUUUGCACAGUGGCAGUAUCGUAGCCUAUGAGGCUUAUCUGAGGCAUGAUUAUUGCUAAUUGAAAAUUUUUCCCAGAG
rnacentral:snRNA from 1 species